UUCUCUCUCUCUCCCCCUCACUUCUUCUUCCUCUCGGCCAAAUCGAACAAGAUCCCCAAAAAUGAGAAUCCUCACUUCCGUCGCCAAUCGCACACCACCAUCAACCUCAUCACCUCUCGAUCUUUCCACCUCUAUUCCUCGGCAGUUUAAUCGUCGAUGUCGCGGAGGUUUUCGCCGUUCAGCCGCCGUUCGCCGGGUCGCCGUCCCUGCUGUUCGCCGGAAGGCACCGCUGCUGGUGGCCGUCAUCCAGCCACCGUCGCGGCUGUGUAGUCCUUCGCCGGAAGUCGCCAUCGUCGUCGUGGAGUCUCUCCUCCAGCAGAGCAGCGACGAGCUUCCAUAGAGCCGAGAGGCUCUCCUCGUCAUUGUCGGGUCAGGCCGUGGCAGAAGACGCAGUGCUGUCGCCGUCUGCAGUUCGCCUCCGCCGUGGUCCGCUCGUUCUUCGAACAGUCCCGAAACGACACCGCGCAACCCCGAAACCAACUCGAACAAUCCCGAAAGAUAACGGAACAGCCCCGCUUACAUUCAGAGAUAAGUUCUCUUACAAAGCUUAUGUCUUUUCGUUUGCAAUUUUUUUUUUCAAUUACCCUGUUAUGGUUGUUCAAUUGGUUAUGUUCGAUUGAUGUUGUCGAUGGAGUUGUUCGUGUGGGAGAUUAAAUUUGGCAGAAUGCGACAUGUACUGGUAUGCUAUGAAAAAAACUUGAUCGAUUGAAAUGGGGUUUUACCUCGCUGAGAACUAAACUUGGCAGCAGGCCGAGAGGGGUGAACUCCCUUGACUUGGCAGAUGUGAAUUUCAUAAGAAGGAAAUGAGUUCUCAUCCGUGAUCGACACUUGGAAAUAAAAAGGAAAGAUGGAAUGGAUAUUUACCGUGGCUUGUUACGGUGAAUCAAAUCUCUUCUACUCUCCUUCUAUCUCGGCUCUCUCUCUCUGUGAAAUUGUUUAAAGAGAAUGGCUGAUGUGAAUAAGAAAUUUGUAGAUUGGAAACAGGAGGAUUGAUUGAGGUAACGGCUUAGGGAGUGGGGUGGAAGCUGAAGCAUUACUCUGCAGAAAAUUUGAAGCUGGAAUGGAAGCAGAUUUAUUUAAAUCUGUAGAACAACCGUGUAGUUAUGGAAGAGGGAAUGAUUGGGCUCAAAACAUCUCCCACCACCUUAUUUAAUUGUUGGGCUCAUUUUGUUGCAAUUAAAUCAAGCCCAACUUUAUUUAUAUGUAAUAGCACUUUUCUAUUUUCCAUGGCCCAAAGCCAUUUCUGUAGAUAAUCAUUUGGGCUCUAAUUAAAUUUGCAAGGCCCAAAUAUAAAUAUAUACAUACUUUAUUUUUCUCGCAUUUCCUUCGAUUAAUUAAAAUUCACGGGAUUUUAUUUAAA